GACAGAGGGUGCGAACGUUGUUCGGAAUUACUGGGCGUAAAGGGCGCGUAGGCGGCCUUCUAAGUCGGACGUGAAAUCCCUCGGCUUAACCGAGGAACUGCGUCCGAUACUGAAAGGCUUGAAUCCGGGAGAGGGAUGUGGAAUUCCAGGUGUAGCGGUGAAAUGCGUAGAUAUCUGGAGGAACACCGGUGGCGAAGGCGGCAUCCUGGACCGGUAUUGACGCUGAGGCGCGAAAGCUAGGGGAGCAAACGGG
rnacentral:rRNA from 1 species